rnacentral:rRNA from 1 species
GAUGAACGCUGGCGGCGUGCCUAAUACAUGCAAGUCGAGCGAACGGACGAGAAGCGUUCUUCUCUGAUGUUAGCGGCGGACGGGGGAGUAAGACGUGGAUAACCGACCUAUAACACUGGGAUAACUUCGGGAAACCGGAGCUAAUACCGGAUAAUAUUUUGAACCGCAUUGUUCAAAAGUGAAAGACGGUCUUGCUGUCACUUAUAGACUGAUCCGCGCUGCAUUAGCUAGUUGGUAAGGUAACGGCUUACCAAGGCAACGAUGCAUAGCCGACCUGAGAGGGUGAACGGCCACAUUGGAACUGAGACACGGCCCAGACUCCUACGGGAGGCAGCAGUAGGGAAUCUUCCGCAAUGGGCGAAAGCCUGACGGAGCAAUGCCGCGUGAGUGAUGAAGGUCUUCGGAUUGUAAAACUCUGUUCUUAGGGAAGAAAAUAUGUGUAAGUAACUGUGAACACUUUGACGGUAGCUAAUCAGAAAGCCCCGGCUAACUACGUG